CAACUCUCCAUCCAAAUAACAAUUUAUAAAAGUAAACCAUUAUAGGUCAAUGUACGGUCUUCAACAUUGAGCCUUGGCUCACACCGAACAACAAGCUAUACAGGGCCCCGAAAUUACUAGACCAUUCAAACGGGAAACCAACGGUCUAAUAUAUAUAUAAAAAAAACCCCGAGAAACGAGAAACACGUAUAAAUUACAUAAACUAACGACAACUACUGCACAUCAGAUUCCUUUUUUAUAAAACUUAUUGUAACGACUUCAAAAAUAGUCAAAGGAAUAUAAGACAAAUACCGAAUGUUUUGUUGUUGAUGAUACAAAGACCACUACAAGCUAUGCGACAAAUUGUUUGUGUAGUAAUAGUUUUUUAACAGC
rnacentral:lncRNA from 1 species